AUGGAUGGACACGCAUGCUUAGAGAGGGCCACACUUGUUAACCAUGUAUAUAUGUUAGCUUGGGCGAUUGAUUCCUCUGUCCAAGAUGGAUGGGCAGCCAUGCUUAGAGGGCCACACUGGGACGCCAUCUCCCGCCACUCCUUCGACACCCCGCUCUACCGCGUAAGCCCCCCUCCUCCUCCGCACGUUCAUCGCCUUCGGCUUCCUGCCCCUGACAGGCUCGACUCCCCUGGCCCCCGCGCGCAGUUCACUGUCCCGGAUCUCCGACCCGGCACGCUCGACUCCCUGCUUGCCCUCAGCGACGACCUCGUCAAGCUACCUGCUUUCCAUCCCAAUCUUGCCCCCACCCUAACUCUUCUUGCCCCCGGCCUGAUCUGGCCUCUGGCUGCAGUCCAACAUCUUCAUCGAGGGCGUCUCGCACAAGAUCCGCCAGCAGAUCGAGGACCUGGAGCGCGCCGGAAGGGUCGAGCCCGGCACCCUCACCGCGACGGCGUCCCCGUGGACAGCUAUCUCACCAGGUUCGUGUGGGACGAGGGCAAGUACCCCGUCAACGCCCCGCUCAAGGAGACCGUCGCCAGCAUCCAGUCCCAGGUCGCCAAGAUCGAGGACCUGCAUGUUGCUACCACCGCAGCCACACUCGUAGCUCCCCCAUGUGUUCUCGCAGCUGCAGUCCUUGCACUAGCAGAAGAGCCUCUCUUUGCAUUCAUCAACAUCUGCAAGUUGCAGAACAAUGUUCCUAAUGGUGAUACCUUCGCAACCGUGUAUGCCGUCACCCUUGAAGCCUUGCGGGCAUUUGCAGCCCUUAGCUUGUUCAUUCUGUAG
rnacentral:rRNA from 1 species